rnacentral:rRNA from 1 species
UACAUGGGGUGCAAACGUUGCUCGGAAUUAUUGGGCGUAAAGCGCGCGUAGGCGGUUACUCAAGUCGGAUGUGAAAGCCCUCGGCUUAACUGAGGAAGUGCACCCGAAACUGAGUAGCUAGAGUACUAAAGAGGGUCGCGGAAUUCCCGGUGUAGAGGUGAAAUGCGUAGAUAUCGGGAGGAACACCUGUGGCGAAAGCGGCGCACUGGACCACAACUGACGCUGAGGCGCGAAAGCUAGGGGAGCAAACAGG